rfam:Achromatium sp. WMS3 contig-199_854, whole genome shotgun sequence.
UAGUUAGCCAAUGAGGAAUCUAAAAGAAGCUGGAACCAAAUUUGCCACUUAAACGAAAGUGAACCUUUAUUGAGGCGUACAGGGCUGGGUGGGGUGCCGCGAACCACCAAAGCCCAAUCAUCUACUCGUAACCCCUGUAUGUAUAGAAGGUAGGUGGGCAAAGAAAGAGGCGUUU